GACGAACGCUGGCGGCGUGCCUAAUACAUGCAAGUCGAGCGAACGGACGAGAAGUUUGCUUUUUGGAUGUUAGCGGCGGGCGGGUGAGUAACACGUGGAUAAUCUACCUAUAAGACUGGGAUAAUUACGGGAAACCGGAGAUAAUACCGGAUAAUAUUUUGAACCGAAGGGUUCAAAAGUGAAAGUCGGGCUUGCUGUCACUAAUAGCUGGAUCCGCGCUGCAUUAGCUAGUUGGGAAGGUAAAGGCCUACAAAGGCAACGAUGCAUAGCCGACCUGAGAGGGUGGUCGGCCACACUGGAACUGAGCCACGGUCCAGACUCCUACGGGAGGCCGCAGUAGGGAAUCUUCCGCAAUGGUGGAGAGCCUGACGGAGCAACGCCGCGUGAGUGGUGACGGUGUUGCGAUCGUAAAGCUCUGUUAUUCGGGGAGAACAUAUGUGUAAGUAACUGUGCACAUCUUGACGGUACCUAAUCAGAAAGCCACGGCUAACUACGUG
rnacentral:rRNA from 1 species